rnacentral:rRNA from 1 species
GACGAACGCUGGCGGCGUGCUUAACACAUGCAAGUCGAACGGAAAGGCCCUGCUUUUGUGGGGUGCUCGAGUGGCGAACGGGUGAGUAACACGUGAGUAACCUGCCCUUGACUUUGGGAUAACUUCAGGAAACUGGGGCUAAUACCGGAUAGGAGCUCCUGCUGCAUGGUGGGGGUUGGAAAGUUUCGGCGGUUGGGGAUGGACUCGCGGCUUAUCAGCUUGUUGGUGGGGUAGUGGCUGACCAAGGCUUUGACGGGUAGCCGGCCUGAGAGGGUGACCGGGCACCAUGGGACUGAGAUACGGCCCAGACGCCAACGGGCGGCAGCAGGGGGGAAUAUUGCGCAAUGGGCGGAAGCCUGAUGCAGCAACGCCGCGUGCGGGAUACCGGCCUUCGGGUUGUAAACCGCUUUCGCCUGUGACGAAGCGUGAGUGACGGUAAUGGGUAAAGAAGCACCGGCUAACUACGUG